UUGAUUACCUGCAUAUGUGAAAAGGUGGAAGCAGGGAGGGAAUCAGUAUGGGAUGUACUGUUAGAUUGCAAUAUGCAGGAGACCAAGUGAAAUAAGAGCAAGAGAAAGGCUUCUCUUCCUACAGUACAUUUUGCACUCUAUUUCUGGGCAGGCGGCUUAUGAGAUGCAUCAGCGCAAGCCAUCCUGACGGAAGGAAACAUUCAGCCAGACUGCCUUCCAGAUGAAGGACACUUUCAGGCAGAGGCCUGUCUUCUGGCAGCCCUUCAACUAGACGUCUGUCGUCUGUAAAGCAGGACACCUGGGCACCCUAGUCAGCUUAAACGGCAAUUCAACAACUGUUGAAGAAGGGUAGUCUCCAGUCACCACCUGCCAUACUGCAGACAGCAGGGGUAGCUGAAGAAAGGACAAUCUCUGUGGAUGGGCACAUUGUCAGGAACAGUCAAGUGUAUGUCAGCAAUAGAAAAA